CAUUACUCGUGCUAACCACGCUCGACAACUUGCACGCGCUCGCCUAUCAGUGUCACAAGAGAACCAGAAGCGUCGCUACGACCUCUGCCACCGUGAAGUGCACUUUUCGCCGGGCGCCCUAGUGCUGCUUUGGUCGCCUUCCUGUCGAG
rnacentral:lncRNA from 1 species